ACGAUGAGGGAGUAAAAGAUAAAUAGCCAAAUGCCUCGUCAUCUAAUUAGUGACGCGCAUGAAUGGAUUAACGAAAAUUCCCACUGUCCCUACUCAC
rnacentral:ncRNA from 1 species